GUCCGAUCCAUGUGAAAACAUCAGGGCAGAUAGAUCUUGACCUGAUAAACAAUUAAACCCUGUCAGAUUUUCUCUUAAUGCUUCGAUUUUUGAGUUAUUAGCCAAAAACUGCAUUUUACCCCUAUGUUCUAUUAUUAGCCGUGGCAGCCAUUUUGGUUGAUUGGCCAGGUCAUGCCACACAUUUUUUAAACAAAUUACCCCAAUGAUGAUUGUGGCAAAGCUUAGUUUAAUUUGGCCCAGUAGUUUCAGAGAAGAAGAUUUUUGUAAAAGAUUACUAAGAUUUACGAAAAAAUGGUUAAAAAUUGAUAAUAAAGGGCAAUAACUC
rnacentral:lncRNA from 1 species